GGAGGGGUGGCCGAGUGGUUAAAGGCAGCAGACUGUAAAUCUGCCCUCUUAGAGUACGAAGGUUCGAAUCCUUCCCCCUCCACCA
rnacentral:tRNA from 9 species